AUUGAACGCUGGCGGCAUGCUUUACACAUGCAAGUCGAACGCAGCGCGGGCUUCGGCCUGGCGGCGAGUGGCGAACGGGUGCGUAAUGCAUCGGAACGUGCCCAGUAGUGGGGGAUAGCCCGGCGAAAGCCGGAUUAAUACCGCAUACGACCUGAGGGUGAAAGCGGGGGACCGAAAGGCCUCGCGCUAUUGGAGCGGCCGAUGUCGGAUUAGCUAGUUGGUGGGGUAAAGGCUUACCAAGGCGACGAUCCGUAGCUGGUCUGAGAGGACGACCAGCCACACUGGGACUGAGACACGGCCCAGACUCCUACGGGAGGCAGCAGUGGGGAAUUUUGGACAAUGGGGGCAACCCUGAUCCAGCCAUGCCGCGUGCGGGAAGAAGGCCUUCGGGUUGUAAACCGCUUUUGUUCGGGAAGAAAUCCUCUGGGCUAAUACCCCGGGGGGAUGACGGUACCGGAAGAAUAAGCACCGGCUAACUACGUG
rnacentral:rRNA from 1 species